rnacentral:rRNA from 1 species
GAUGAACGCUAGCGGCAGGCUUAAUACAUGCAAGUCGAGGGGCAGCGCAGUGUAGCAAUACAUGGGCGGCGACCGGCAAACGGGUGCGGAACACGUACAGAACCUUCCUUCGAGCGGGGAAUAGCCCAGAGAAAUUUGGAUUAAUACCCCAUAGUAUUACGGAGUGGCAUCACUUUGUAAUUAAAGAUUUAUCACUUGAAGAUGGCUGUGCGGCUGAUUAGGUAGUUGGCGGGGUAACGGCCCACCAAGCCCACGAUCAGUAACUGGUGUGAGAGCACGACCAGUCACACGGGAACUGAGACACGGGCCCGACUCCUACGGGAGGCAGCAGUAAGGAAUAUUGGUCAAUGGACGAAAGUCUGAACCAGCCAUGCCGCGUGGAGGAUGAAGGUCCUCUGGAUUGUAAACUUCUUUUAUCUGGGACGAAAAAAGGCUUUUCUAAGUCGUCUGACGGUACCAGAUGAAUAAGCACCGGCUAACUCCGUGCCAGCCGCCGCCGUAAAAC